AUUGAACGCUGGCGGCAGGCUUAACACAUGCGAGUCGAGCGGAGCGAGGGUGCUUGCACCUUAGCUUAGCGGCGGACGGGUGAGUAAUGCUUAGGAAUCUGCCUAUUAGUGGGGGACAACAUUCCGAAAGGAAUGCUAAUACCGCAUACGCCCUACGGGGGAAAGCAGGGGAUCUUCGGACCUUGCGCUAAUAGAUGAGCCUAAGUCGGAUUAGCUAGUUGGUGGGGUAAAGGCCUACCAAGGCGACGAUCUGUAGCGGGUCUGAGAGGAUGAUCCGCCACACUGGGACUGAGACACGGCCCAGAAUCCUACGGGAGGCAGCAGUGGGGAAUAUUGGACAAUGGGAGGAAGCCUGAUCCAGCCAUGCCGCGUGUGUGAAGAAGGCCUUUUGGUUGUAAAGCACUUUAAGCGAGGAGGAGGCUACUUAGAUUAAUACUCUGGGAUAGUGGACGUUACUCGCAGAAUAAGCACCGGCUAACUCUGUGCCAGCCGCCGCCGUAA
rnacentral:rRNA from 1 species